rnacentral:rRNA from 1 species
GACGAACGCUGGCGGCGUGCUUAAUACAUGCAAGUCGAGCGGUGAACCUGACUGAAAGCCUUCGGGCUUGACGUUGGGGGAUCAGCGGCGGAUGGGUGAGUAACGCGUGGGUACCUGCCCUAAAGUCUGGGAUAACAACUCGAAAGGGUUGCUAAUACCGGAUGUGACCGAGAGGUUAAAGGCAGAGAUGUCGCUUUAGGAUGGGGCCCGCGUCCCAUUAGCUAGUUGGUGAGGUAAGGGCUCACCAAGGCUGCGAUGGGUGGCCGGCCUGAGAGGGUGGACGGCCACACUGGGACUGAGACACGGCCCAGACUCCUACGGGAGGCAGCAGUAGGGAAUUUUCCGCAAUGGACGGAAGUCUGACGGAGCGACGCCGCGUGGGGGAAGAAGGCCUUCGGGUUGUAAACCUCUGUCUUCAGGGACGAAGAGGGUGUGGGAGACACACCGAAGCCGGUACCUGAGGAGGAAGCCCGGCUAACUACGUGCCAGCAGCCGCGGUAAAACCACAAUAGUAGU